AUUGAACGCUGGCGGCAGGCCUAACACAUGCAAGUCGAGCGGAUGAAGGGAGCUUGCUCCUGGAUUCAGCGGCGGACGGGUGAGUAAUGCCUAUGAAUCUGCCUGGUAGUGGGGGAUAACGUCCGGAAACGAGCGCUAAUACCGCCUACGUCCUGAGGGAGAAAUUGGGGGAUCUUCGGACCUCACGCUCUCAGAUGAGCCUAGGUCGGAUUAGCUAGUUGGUGGGGUAAAGGCCUACCAAGGCGACGAUCCGUAACUGGUCUGAGAGGAUGAUCAGUCACACUGGAACUGAGACACGGUCCAGACUCCUACGGGAGGGAGCAGUGGGGAAUAUUGGACAAUGGGCGAAAGCCUGAUCCAGCCAUGCCGCGUGUGUGAAGAAGGUCUUCGGAGUGUAAAGCACUUUAAGUUGGGAGGAAGGGCAGUAAGUUAAUACCUUGCUGUUUUGACGUUACCAACAGAAUAAGCACCGGCUAACUUCGUG
rnacentral:rRNA from 1 species